UACGAAGGGGGCUAGCGUUGCUCGGAAUCACUGGGCGUAAAGGGUGCGUAGGCGGGUCUUUAAGUCAGGGGUGAAAUCCUGGAGCUCAACUCCAGAACUGCCUUUGAUACUGGAGAGCUUGAGUCCGGGAGAGGUGAGUGGAACUGCGAGUGUAGAGGUGAAAAUUCGUAGAUAUUCGCAAGAACACCAGUGGCGAAGGCGGCUCACUGGCCCGGUAUGACGCUGAGGUGCG
rnacentral:rRNA from 1 species